CAUUGAUUUUUUUACUCUCUCCGCCUCACGUUUGAUUGGAAAUGCCCCCAAGCUCAGGAUGAUAGGCCUACUUUUUCCUAUUCCGCUGGGUGAUGAGUCAACCGAACGUAAUCACGACGCCAACAGAGGUUCUUCGAAUGCAUUGCGAAAGUGACGAAAUCAGCGCCUCUAGUCUCAAGAUUGCGAAAUGCCCGGUUAGCAGAAUUUCUUAAGAGUCGGACCUCAAUUCAUUUGUCGUAAUAUAUCGCUUACCAUCGGGACGAAAUGGAUUCUACCAGUAACAAUAAUGAUACAGGCUGCACCAGCAAGUAGGCCUGAGGCAACUUCUCAACCUGUGAACAAUAGGAAGUCAGUCAAAGCUAAGAAAAGAAAAGCCCAGCAAGGGAAAAGCAAGCAAGGCGAAGGGAGACUAUUGCGCAGCUGAGAGAAUAGACAACUACGACCCCAAAAACAACACGUAUUACAUAAAGUGGCAAGGAUAUGAUGCGUCCCACAACUCAUGGGUGAAAGCGGAAGACGUAACUUCUCCUCUCAUCUCUUCUUACAAAGAAAAAUUAGGUUCAGGAACGCACAAGAAGUGAUGCACCUCAUGUCAAUUUAUGUGAAUUUGUGCAAAUCCUCCCACCUGUGUUUUUUUGUUCAGUGGAAUUCACGUAUUUCGGUAUUCCUUCUUCACCUCCACGCAUUAUUCAUUCUGACAUAAACUCACAUGAUCACUUUUGAUGAAAGAUUACAUAAUGGAUAAUAUUGAAUUGGCACAAAUAUAGUAACAAUGUAAACUUAUCAUAUCUUUCAAAGGUCUCAUUAAAAGUAAAUGUAAGUUACAUGUACAUGUACUGUGGAAUUAUUGUUUUUUCAGACAAUCUGUGGCUGUUGUAUACAUGUAUCAUUCAAUAAACGUGGCGUUUUUCAUAUUAUUAGA